UACGUAGGGGGCAAGCUUUGUCCGGAAUCAUUGGGCGUAAAGGGUGCGUAGGCGGGUCGUUAAGUCAGGGGUUAAAUCCUGGAGCUCAACUCCAGAACUGCCUUUGAUACUGAAGAUCUUGAGUUCGGGAGAGGUGAGUGGAACUGCGAGUGUAGAGGUGAAAUUCGUAGAUAUUCGCAAGAACACCAGUGGCGAAGGCGGCUCACUGGCCCGAUACUGACGCUGAGGCACGAAAGCGUGGGGAGCAAACAGG
rnacentral:rRNA from 1 species